AUGAACAAUUCUGCUGCUGCUAACCCCGGGGCCUGUUUCCAAUCCACAGAAAAACAAAUCCCUAAUCACUUCUCCUACUCCCGCUACCUCACUGAAGCUCCAUACAGUGAGGGGCAUAGGUCUGAGGGUAACACUGUAAGAUAAUGGGUCUGUUUUGUACAGGAAGCUGAUGGUAAAUUAACACCAGCCAUUAAUCACAGCCAGCAUCUACCCAAACAAAAACACCAGCUACAGGACGUCAGCAUCCUGCAGUCCUGUCAUCCUUCUUAAAAGCUCUGUGACAAGAAAUGGAGUUUGUGUCUGAUGGAUGGAGACCGAUUAGAGCCCAGAAGGACUACAAGAGGGAUGGCAAGCUGGCUAUGUGUCUUGUAAACAGUAAUGAAAGCUUCAGUGGAAGAUCUAGUAGAAGACUAAUGCUACUUCAUCUUUACUUCCAUCUAUGUCUUUAAAAUCCCUCUAUGUUUACACAUCUGCUUUGCUGCUUUCAGAUGAUGGAGUUUGGCCCCUUUCCCUGUAUUCUCCCU